GUGUAGAAACAAGUUUUGUUGUUAUUGUUGUUGUUGAGACAGAGUCUCACUAUGUAACCCUUGGCUUGUCUGGAACUCACUUUGUAGACCAGGCUGGCCUCAAACUCAGAUCCACUAAAACCUGGCCUUCACUGCAUAGGAGAGAGUUGUGGGAGAAUUUCCCAGAGGGAAGCAACCUGGAUUUUGGACUUUAGGUCCUUGAACUGGGAGAUAAGCUAUUUCUGUCAACCUCAGCCAGUUGAUGGCUGUUUUUAGGAUGUCUCCUAGUUACUUAUACUAGUGUACAAAGGUAUUCAUUGGCAGCUUGACUAAAAGAUUUGGAAGUUAUUUUUUUUCCCCUCUCAGGAACUGGUGCAAUGUCUCAGCAGUUAAGAGUGCUGGCCACUCUAGCUGAAGACUCAGGUUUGGUUUAUAGCACCCAUUCAUGGUGGCUCACAACCACCUGAAACUCCAGUUCCAGAGGAUCCAUCUGGUGCCUAUUGGCUUUAGCAGACUUACGCAGAUCUGUCUGCAAGACCUGGGAUUUGAAGACCUGAAAGCAUCAGGUGGACUACAGUCUAAUGCUGUAUACCACUUUCCUUCAGUGUACUUUUUUCUUUUAUUGUUUUUUUCUCUGUGUAGCUUUGGUGCCUCUCCUGGAACUCACUCUGUAGAUCAGGCUGACCUUGAACUCACAGAGAUCUGCCUACCUCUGCCUCCCGAGUGCUGGGAUUAAAGGCAUGUGCCACCAUUGCCCAGCUCAGUGUACUUUUAUACAUGAAAAAUGACUAGGAAAGCAAUGAUCCAAGGAAGGCUGUUUGAGUUCAGAAACACAUGAUCAGAAAAGCAUGUCAGUACUAUUAUUAAAUAUGAAAGCACGUAUUUAAUAUUAAUAGAAGAGCCCUUUCCCAGAACUUUCUCAGGACAGAUCAAUUUGAACACAACUGCCUGGCACAUACUAUAGGUUUUAUCUGGGGAAGCAUGAAUGUAAGGUAGAAGGUCAUAUCUAAAUUCAGGGUACACUGACCAGAUUGGAGAAUAAACAUGUCUUAUAAAUUGAAUGUUUAAUGUUUAACACAGGAGGCACGAAAUCAUGCUCAAGAACAAUCCAGGGAGCAAAAUGUACUUGAAGUCAAAGGUCCUCUGCCUUUUGUCCUGGAGCCUCUCUCACAGGUCCCCAAGCAGUUUCUAAACCGCUUCAGUGACGGCCAUUCCAGGCAAGGAACACUGAGGACGCUGAAACCUGGGAUGAAGUCACUGGGGAUUGAGACAUUCACACGGAGGAUCGCCUUACCCUGGGAAGAUCUGGAGAGUGCCAGGUGCCAUGAACAGUGGUGAAAGCUGACACCGUACAAAUUUUAUCUGUCACCAUGCUGCCUGGCAAGAGAGCUGGCAGGAGAAGCAAGAGCAGCUGACGCUGGGUGCAAUCCUAGUGAGACCCUGACAGAAAAAAUAAAAAAGUAAUAAAAUUGUAAGAAACAAACCAAA